rnacentral:rRNA from 1 species
UUCGGCCGGGAAGAAAUCGCACGGGCUAAUACCCUGUGUGGAUGACGGUACCGGAAUAAGAAGCACCGGCUAACUACGUGCCAGCAGCCGCGGUAAUACGUAGGGUGCGAGCGUUAAUCGGAAUUACUGGGCGUAAAGCGUGCGCAGGCGGUUUAGUAAGACAGGCGUGAAAUCCCCGGGCUCAACCUGGGAACUGCGCUUGUGACUGCUAAGCUAGAGUACGGCAGAGGGGGGUGGAAUUCCACGUGUAGCAGUGAAAUGCGUAGAGAUGUGGAGGAACACCGAUGGCGAAGGCAGCCCCCUGGGCCGAUACUGACGCUCAUGCACGAAAGCGUGGGUAGCAAACAGGAUUAGAUACCCUGGUAGUCCACGCCCUAAACGAUGUCAACUAGGUGUUGGGUGGGUAAAACCAUUUAGUACCGGAGCUAACGCGUGAAGUUGACCGCCUGGGGAGUACGGCCGCAAGGUUAAAACUCAAAGGAAUUGACGGGGACCCGCACAAGCGGUGGAUGAUGUGGAUUAAUUCGAUGCAACGCGAAAAACCUUACCUACCCUUGACAUGUCCAGAAGCUCUUAGAGAUUUGAGUGUGCCCGAAAGGGAGCUGGAACACAGGUGCUGCAUGGCUGUCGUCAGCUCGUGUCGUGAGAUGUUGGGUUAAGUCCCGCAACGAGCGCAACCCUUGUCGUUAAUUGCCAUCAUUUAGUUGGGCACUUUAACGAGACUGCCGGUGACAAACCGGAGGAAGGUGGGGAUGACGUCAGGUCCUCAUGGCCCUUAUGGGUAGGGCUUCACACGUCAUACAAUGGUCGGUACAGAGGGUUGCCAAGCCGCGAGGUGGAGCCAAUCCCAGAAAGCCGAUCGUAGUCCGGAUCGUAGGCUGCAACUCGCCUGCGUGAAGUCGGAAUCGCUAGUAAUCGCGGAUCAGCAUGUCGCGGUGAAUACGUUCCCGGGUCUUGUACACACCGCCCGUCACACCAUGGGAGCGGGUUCCGCCAGAAGUAGGUAGCCUAACCGCAAGGAGGGCGCUUACCACGGCGGGGUUCGUGACUGGGGUGAAGUCGUAACAAGGUAGCCGU